rnacentral:lncRNA from 1 species
CAGGUCUGAAAUGAGCUGAGCUGGUGUCCUGUUGUUCCAUAACAACCUGAACCUGUUGUUCCUGCUGCUGUUAGUAGGCUGGGGGCCUGACUUUCAAGGAAGAGGAAGAAUUUCUUUCUUGGGAGACAGAACGACGUGCUGGAGGACUGGUGUGAAGAAUCUGAAAAAUGGACUAUCCAGUUAUUUGAGUCUGCAUGGGAAGGACACCGUCGGCUCCGGAUUUGAUUACUUUUGUUUUUAAAUGGCUCCAGAAUCAGAAAGGAUUGUGACAGUGGCAUGCAAGGAGGACUCCAGUUCAACUGAGCGCAGCAUUUCCACGUGAUGUUCACCACUGGCCACACUUCAUCAGGAGAAACUCCCACAUUAGAGAUGUGUCCUUUGUGUGGAAGCUGAACAAAUAAGAGGGCUCUGUGUCCAACAGUGCGCUGCUUUGCAGGUCAGAAGGCCUGAGCUUUGUCUGAAACUUCCUUGGAGAUGCAGAAACAGUAAGAGCCAUUUGCCCAUAAAGUUCUGUAAUAUGACUCCCAUCUUCUCUCUGUGCUCCCUUCUCAUCUGUUUAUGUGAGCAUGUACAUAACUGUACAGAUAUACCUACUCCGAUGAAAGUCUGCAUCAGCUUUGGUCCUAUUGAGUUUUCUGAAGUGAUUUUUUCAAUGUGAUGUAUUUUAGCAUUAAAGUGAAUGAAUGAAUGAAGCAGUAUACUUCAGCAGCGUUGGUAAGAGGAAAGGGAGUGAAAGGGGUGUUUGAGCAAGGUAAAGUGCACAUGAAACUGGAUAAAGUCACCUGCUGCUCCCCAUCAUGCAACCUAAGAAAUGUAUAGGAAUUUACAAUGUACAAAUGUUCUGCUUUGUAACUACUGAAUUUCAUGGUUGCAUAUUUGCCACUUGUGAAUUUGUAACUGGAUAUUAGCAAUUUUCAAAUAGCUUGGGAUGUUACACAUACAGUACUUAUAAAAUAUAUGGUAAAUAUAUGAGACAACCCAUUUAUUCACUGUAGAGGGCACAAAAGGAAACAGAAAUACUGAGAACUCUUACGCAGUAAGCCAUCAGACUGGCACGAUCUCAUCAAAUAUGCAAGAGUGAGCUGAUGCGAUCCCUGAAACAUUUCUAUACAUGUAUGAUAGAAACAGUUAUGUUGUCUAGAUAAGAGACCAAAGCAAAAUAGUAUAAACAAGAUGGUGUAAACGUAAAUAAGACAUUAGAAGUUGCUGGUAGGACAAAGUUAGAAUCUUACUUGAUCCUUAUGUGUUACUAGAUGCUGAAUGGGAUGAGAUCUAGUCUGUGAGUUGUACCGUGCUUAGACAACAAUAUGUCAGAGUUAAAACUGCAGAAUGCAGUAACCUCUGGUUUUAUUAAUCUCUUCUGAAACACAUCAAGUGUCACUUUUAUUUAUUACCAUAUAAACAGGAAACAUUCUUCUAAAAAUAUGAAACGUUAUCCUCGUUCAAAGUAAUAGGUAACCAGAAUGUAGGGCAUCACUGUUUCUGCGUUGUACAGUGACUUGCAGUGGUUGCGGUACACUUUCUUUGCUGUUACUGUGAAAAUGUUGGAAAGUGUCUUUCUCUUUCGUGCUUCCACAGUCAUUAAUACAUUAAAGUUCAUGUCUUUGGCUGGGCAUCUUUGAUCAUAUUGUCCUAUCCUAACCUAACCUAGCCUAGCCUAGCCUAGCCUAGCCUAAUCUUCCUGUUUUAAUAUUUGUAUCUUAUAUCCUUGAUCAUAUCAUAUAAUUGGGCAGAUAUAAAGAAGGUAAAACCAAGAAAUAACAUUGAAUAUAUAUGAAAUAUAUAUGAAAGAAAUAUUUUUGCUGAAACAUAUAUAUAUAUAUAUUUUUUUUGCUAAGAAGUGUUUUGAGGUUGAAAAAAAUAAUCAGAAGGACAAGUAAUUUCAAAAUAUUAAUAGAAAAAUCUCAUUAAAAUUAAAAGUAAUUCCUACUGAGUAAUAUAUUUGUGAUGUAUGUCAAAUGGCCAUAAUUAUCUACCUGAGAUGUUUGUGAAUAAAUACCAAACCAAUGGUUGACAGAGAAAGGUGUUUAUUUUCCCUUUCCUUUAAUAUGUUCAGACUCCCAUACUUUUGGAUUAGGAAGUUUGUCCCUUUUCAUUAAGGCCCUUUGUUUGAAACCUGCUCCUAAAUUCAUCUGUAUGCAUCAUCUUCAGUAAUAUUGAGAGUUGUACCUUCCACGAGUCUUUGGCACUGUAUGAUGAAGCGCUCUAUUUAUAUUAAAAUGAAGAAGUUCCUAAGGGAGACAUAGAACAGAAUGAAACAACAAACAGAGCUUUAGAGACUGAAUGCGUGAAGUGACAGUGACAGUGAAGUGGUAGCUCUUUUUACAGAGUGGCCCUAAGGACUGCAGAAAGACUUAUAGCAUGAGCCACAGUGGCUUGAACUUGGCAGCUCUUACAGGCUUAAGGACUUGCCAUGAGAAGAUAUUUUACAAUACAGAAGUUGAUCAAAUAAUUUCUCAAGAUUGCACAUCUUGAUUUGGGAUGUCACUGACAUAAUACAUUGCACGAGGCUUUGCUAUUUAUAAAUUAAAGGAAUUAUUUUAACAUCAAACCAUAUUUCUUCAUUUAAAUCAGCACACAACUAUACUGCUAUUUUUUUGAUUUACUUAGUCAAGAUAAUAGCAGAGAAAAGACAUAGACGUCACAUUAUACGGCAGCUAAAUGCCUUCCUGUUUUCAGCUCGAGGGAAGGGAGAAAGUGAAUUAAGCUGCUAUUGAAAUAUGCCCUGCAGGUCAAUUUGAAUCGGGCAAGAGUGCUAUAAAGUGGUCUAUUGUAGGGGGAAAGCUGUUAAAUUGCCUGGAGGACUGGCUCAACUUCAUCAUGAUAAGGGAAUCUAAGGGAAUCCGUGAGGUUGCUGUGCCCUCUGUGCUAAUGGUACGAACAAUCCACUGGCCAUCCAAAGAUAUCUGGUGUGGGAGGAGUGACAGGGUGGGAAUUAUUAAGGGAGACUUCCACAGGAAAAUAAUUUUCUACAAGGUAUUUUUAUAAUGGGAGAGAAAAGAUCAUAAAAUAUUUGUUGGAAAAGAAAAAUGAGAUAUGGUAAGUAGGAGAGGGCAUUGAAAACUGCUGUUUUCUUUGGACAGUGAGUCUCUGGCUGGGCCUGAAGAACAUUACAGAUGAGAGGAUGUGGUGCUGUCAGAAAGGGAGUUAAGGCUGAGCUUUAGGAGGGGAUGGGGUUUUACUUGUUCUUGUUGUCAUCAGGUGACAUAAUCCAGUGUAUAAUUCACAUUUUAUACAAAGGAAAUUUUUGUUGAAGAUGCAAUCUGUCCCUCUCCCGGUCACAAAUUAACUAGUUUAAAUAUGCUCCUUAUUAGCCCUGCUAGAGCCUGGGCUUCUUACUGGUUCCUGCCUGAUAUUCUCAAACCAUAAUAGCAUAUGUUUAAGAAACUUAUGUUCAGUUUCAACAUCUGCUUCAAAAAGAGGGCACCAUCAACUGGAAAUAAAUAGUCAUAGUCAGAUACUCUAACGAGCAAACUUGUUUGGGAAAAAUUAAUUGUUCCCUGUGGAUAUAGACCUUCAGAUGCUGAUACCACUGCAAGGGAAGAAAGAUCACUUUUUGCAAUGCAAAGAUUUGAUUUAUCUCUUUCCUAGCCCAUAGAAAGUCAAGCCUAGGGCAUAUCCUUCAUGUCUGUAUUUUUUAAAAUCAUUUCUAUGGAAAAUAAUUGAAAUGAAAGCUUAAAUCAUCUGAAAACACUUUCUACCUUUUGAAUUGAUCUUAAAAAAAAAAA